UACGAAGGGGGCUAGCGUUGCUCGGAAUCACUGGGCGUAAAGGGUGCGUAGGCGGGUCUUUAAGUCAGGGGUGAAAUCCUGGAGCUCAACUCCAGAACUGCCUUUGAUACUGAAGAUCUUGAGUUCGGGAGAGGUGAGUGGAACUGCGAGUGUAGAGGUGAAAUUCGUGGAUAUUCGGAAGAACACCAGUGGCGAAGGCGGCUCACUGGUCCGGUACUGACGCUGAGGUGCGAAAGCGUGGGGAGCAAACAGG
rnacentral:rRNA from 1 species